GACGUAGGGCGCGAGCGUUGUCCGGAUUUAUUGGGCGUAAAGAGCUCGUAGGCGGCUUGUCGCGUCGACUGUGAAAAACCCGCGGCUCAACCGCGGGCCUGCAGCCGAUACGGGCAGGCUAGAGUUCGGUAGGGGGAGACUGGAAUUCCUGGUGUAGCGGUGAAAUGCGCAGAUAUCAGGAGGAACACCAGUGGCGAAGGCGACUACCUGGCCUGUUCUUGACGCUGAGGCGCGAAAGCUAGGGGGAGCAAACGGGG
rnacentral:rRNA from 1 species